rnacentral:rRNA from 1 species
AACGAACGCUGGCGGCAGGCUUAACACAUGCAAGUCGAGCGCCCCGCAAGGGGAGCGGCAGACGGGUGAGUAACGCGUGGGAAUCUACCCUUUUCUACGGAAUAACGCAGGGAAACUUGUGCUAAUACCGUAUGAGCCCUUCGGGGGGAAAGAUUUAUCGGGAAAGGAUGAGCCCGCGUUGGAUUAGCUAGUUGGUGGGG